UCAUCUUCUUUUCUCUCUCCUACCAAUAAUUGAUAGUAGAAUUCUGACGAUUGCUGUUGUGGAUCUGUAUCUCGGCCUCAGCUGCAGUAUCUUCGGCACCAAUCGAGCUAUUGGAGAUGGGUGUCCGUCAGAUAUAUGGAUAUGCGACAGAGAUGAAGGCCGCCGAACACACCCCAUCAUCAGUGGUUCUUGACUCCUCGACCUUGGACGAUCAUUUUAGAUCGUCCUCGACUGACC
rnacentral:lncRNA from 1 species